rnacentral:rRNA from 1 species
UACAGAGGGUGCAAGCGUUAAUCGGACUUACUGGGCGUAAAGGGCGCGUAGGCGGAUGAAUUAGUUAGAUGUGAAAGACCUGGGCUUAACCGAGGAGCUGCAUUUAAUACUGUUCAUCUAGAGUGCGGUAGAGGGAAGUGGAAUUUCUAGUGUAGCGGUGAAAUGCGUAGAUAUUAGAAAGAACAUCAGUGGCGAAGGCGACUUCCUGGACUGACACUGACGCUGAGGCGCGAAAGCAUGGGUAGCGAACAGG